rnacentral:rRNA from 1 species
AUUGAACGCUGGCGGCAUGCCUUACACAUGCAAGUCGAACGGCAGCACGGGUGCUUGCACCUGGUGGCGAGUGGCGAACGGGUGAGUAAUACAUCGGCACAUGUCCUGUAGUGGGGGAUAGCCCGGCGAAAGCCGGAUUAAUACCGCAUACGAUCUACGGAUGAAAGCGGGGGACCUUCGGGCCUCGCGCUAUAGGGUUGGCCGAUGGCUGAUUAGCUUGUUGGUGGGGUAAAGGCCUACCAAGGCGACGAACAGUAGCUGGUCUGAGAGGACGACCAGCCACACUGGGACUGAGACACGGCCCAGGCUCCUACGGGAGGCAGCAGUGGGGAAUUUUGGACAAUGGGCGAAAGCCUGAUCCAGCAAUGCCGCGUGUGUGAAGAAGGCCUUCGGGUUGUAAAGCACUUUUGUCCGGAAAGAAAUCCUUGGCCCUAAUACGGUCGGGGGAUGACGGUACCGGAAGAAUAAGCACCGGCUAACUACGUG